rnacentral:rRNA from 1 species
UACGUAGGGCGCAAGCGUUGUCCGGAAUUAUUGGGCGUAAAGAGCUCGUAGGCGGCUUGUCGCGUCGGAUGUGAAAGCCCGGGGCUUAACCCCGGGUCUGCAUUCGAUACGGGCAGGCUAGAGUGUGGUAGGGGAGAUCGGAAUUCCUGGUGUAGCGGUGAAAUGCGCAGAUAUCAGGAGGAACACCGGUGGCGAAGGCGGCGACCUGGUCCGAUACUGACGCUGAGGCGCGAAAGCGUGGGGAGCAAACAGG